CAUGGAGUUCACUAAUGCAGAUGC
rnacentral:sRNA from 1 species